rnacentral:rRNA from 1 species
ACUCAAUAGAUACCCUGGUAGUCCUGGCCCUAAACGUUGGGUACUAGGUUGUGGGCCGGACAUGGGCUCACAGCCGAAAGCAAAAAAGUGCUAAGUACCCCGCCUGGGGAGUAUGGUCGCAAGGCUGAAACUCAAAGAAAUUGACGGGGGCUCACACAAGCGGUGGAGCAUGUGGCUUAAUUCGAGGCUACGCGAAGAACCUUAUCCUGGACUUGACAUGUGCGAAAGCGUUGGCAGGUAGGACCCGGAAACGGGAACGAACGGUAUCCAACCCGGAAGCCAACACAGGUGCUGCAUGGCUGUCGUCAGCUCGUGUCGUGAGAUGUCGGGUUAAGUCCCAUAACGAGCGAAACCCUUACCCUUAGUUGCUACCAUUCAGUUGGGCACUCUAGGGGGACUGCCGGUGUCAAACCGGAGGAAGGUGGGGAUGACGUCAAGUCCUCAUGGCCUUUAUGUCCAGGGCUGCACACGUGCUACAAUGGCGUGUACAAAGCGACGCGACGGCGCGAGCCGGAGCCAAUCGCAGAAAACACG